rnacentral:sRNA from 1 species
UUUUUAUUUUGUGAAAAUAUGAUUCACAUUAGCGAAAUUGUGUGUUGUGAAGACGACGAGAUCUGAUGCAUAUGAUCUAUUCUCGUAGCCUCAAUCUAUUGUCUUGAAUGUAAAGAUCUCUGCAAAUUUAAACAAAAAUCAAAAAAUAAAUUUUCGGUGUACAUAAUAACAAGUCCAUUCAUAUGUGUCCAUAGAGAAACUUUUUUUACUGAGUCAUAUCCAUUCUACACCAAAUUUUUGUAUAAAUCUGCUCCAUCUACUUCAUUCACCCAAAUAAUCUCUACAUACAACGAUUCUCUCCCUGAAACCAUAUAAAUAUAUCGUAAUCAUAAAAAAAAGGGGUGAUAACUUUACUAAACAAUAAAACACACUCGCAGCAAAUCAAAGACAUAGUUGUCCAUUGACGAGUGUCCAAGAAGUCAAGUCCAAAUGGUCAUCUAGUAAUUAACAUAAUCAUUUCAUAUCAAUACACACGAUAAUCAUCAGUUAAAAGUACACCGUCCAUUUUUCUUUAACCAAUAUUUGCUUAUGUAUGGACACAACCAUCAUUAUAAAAUGGAUCCAUACCCUAUACAUAGAAUAUUUUAUCCAGUGAUAAAACACAUUAGUAGUAAACAAAGACGAUAUUGUCCACAGAUGUUUGUCCGAGCGGUGCAAUCCAUAUGGUCAUUGUUUGACUCAUAUGGUUAUUUGUUCUCUGUAUUUUAAGUCUCUGAAAUUCUAAGAUCUAGCAAGUAAAGAAUUGGAAGAAAAAUAAAAGCUUCAAUUAAGGUUUCAGAGCUACGAAACUCAUAAAAUUGAAUAAUGAAUGAAGUUUGGGCAGAACCCAUGAUCUUAAAUUACGUAAGUAAACACAUACAAAGCAAAAAAUCUAUGGUACAGAUCCUUAAUCCAAGUCGUGAUUGUAGUGAAUCCAUUAUCUUCCGCUUGAUUUUGUAUUUGUCGACAAAGAGAGAGAAAGAGAGAGAGAAGAGAAAUGAGGAGAGAGUGAUUUUCUGUUUGUCGAAAAGGGAGAGAAAGAGAGAGAGAAGAGAAACUAGGAGAGAGACAAAGAUUAUAAGGAGAGAGAAAUAGUUAAGAGAAGGGUAAAUAGGUAAAUUUAUUUAUACAAAGUGCCUACUUUUUGGAAAGUGCCUAAACGUGUAAUAUGUUAUAUAAAAGUGCCUUAUAGUGUAAUAUUCUCUUAUUACAUUUUCACUAUUUUAGUUUGGAAUUUCGGAUAAUUAAUCGAAACAAUAGUUUUGUCUAACCGAUCGUUUUUAAUAAGAAUGGGAAUUGUAUAUGGUUCUAAGCUAAUGAUUAAAAAUUAAAAAUAGAUAGAUUUACAAAAAUUGAUCUUCAAUAAAACUUUUGUAAAGUAAUGAGGUAUAUUUUAUUAAUCUAUCGAUAUUAAAUGUCGUAAAUAUGAUAUUUAACUAGAUUUUAACCUGCGGUACACCGUGGGACUAUUUUAUUCUUUUAAAAGUAAAAAUUUAAUAACUGUCGAUUCAAAUCCGUCCUACUAUCUAACACCGUUUAGUGAAAUUAAACAUUUUGUUUUUCUUAUUUUUGUUUUAAUAAUACUUUAAUUU